CCCUUAAUACGCGCACUGAGGAACGCAUCACCUCUGCCUGUAGACACAAGACGAACGCGUGAAGCUUUCGUUUUUGUCGUUGAAACGCGGUUGAAACUUCUGCCGCUUUGCAGUGUGUAAGCGGCCGAUGCGGUUUUCUUAGCAAGCGUGAAAAACUAAAAGAAUUCUUGUAGCCUCGUAACAUUACGGCUGAACCACUUAUGGCACAGGGACUGUUUUACCCGAUGUCCUUACUGCGUUUCCCUUGCUGUCUGCUGUCUGUCUGUCAGAAAGCUCUCAGAUUUCAUAAAAAAAGAUCUUAAUUUGUGUUCAGAAGAUGAACGAAGGUCUUACGGGGUUGGAACGACAUGAGAUUUCACCCAGACACCACUGACACAAACACCACUCCUGCUGAUUUUGUCAUCACAAAACCACUACGAGUCCUGUCCUGCAACAGUGUGUUUGACACUCAGAAAAUACAGUCACAAGGCUGUACAGUGCACUUCAACAACAGGUAAAAACAAAUUUAAGCUUUUCAAUUUGCCUUAACUGUUAUUUAUAAUUAUUCUUAACUUUUAAAAAGUCGCUUAAAUGUUUCAAGGUGAUCGGUUUCCACAGAAAAAUGUGAGUAUUCUGAAUUUAUUGGGUUUUAUGUGCAGCGGCCGUAUUUUUGACAUCACCUCCUAGAGUGAUAAAACUUAGACAACAUAGGAAGAUGAAUUUAGAGUAAAUAUUUAAUGGGCCCCACUUUAUAUGAGGUAUAAUGGUAUUAUAUGAACACAAUAAGAUCAUUGAACUUUUUUUUUUUUUUUUUU